rnacentral:tRNA from 3 species
GGGGCUGUAGCUCAUCUGGGAGAGCGCUUCAAUGGCAUUGAAGAGGCACGGGGUUCGAGUCCCCGCAGCUCCACCA